GUCCGUGUAGAGUAGUGGUCAUCUCGCCAGAAUCACACACACUCACCGUUCUUCCUCUAGCCGAGGAAGAGCAGUGAGUGAGGGGGACCUCUGGAUAUCGUCGGUUCGAACCCGACCGCGGGCA
rnacentral:tRNA from 1 species